UGGAGUUUUAGUCGAGUAUCAAUUUUUUGUAUUACAACUUCUUUUUAUUUAUUUUAUUCAUAUAUAUUUUUAUAUGAAAUGAUGAUUUUCUCAAUCAGUAAUACUAGCAAGAAAACAGAGCUACAGUGUGGAGGAAGUAGAGGGAUUAGCCUUGCUGCAGGGUCUAAAGGAGCUGGUUCAGUUUCUCAACGCUAAAACUAUUGUAGAAGUGGAUUGUCUGACGCUGCUUAAUGCACUGAGUCCUGGUACUACGAAUCAGUCUAGCUUAUUCCCUGUUAUAAGUGACAUCAGGGACACUGUGAAUCACUUCAGGUCUCACCAAGCUGGGUGGUGUGGGCAGGGAACAAAACAAAUCUGCNCUGUGAAUCACUUCAGGUCUCACCAAGCUGGGUGGUGUGGGCAGGGAACAAAACAAAUCUGCUAAUAGUUGUGCUAAUUUGGUCAGAAGCUCGGGAGAUUUCUUCUUCUUCUUGGCAAAUGGAGCUCUUACAAACUGAAUGUAGUCUUGUUGUUUCAUCAUUCUCUAACGAUCUUUGUUCUAAAAACCAGAGCUAUAAUACCUAUGCGCAGACUUGCAGUGGAAGUAUAUGAUACUAUGAGUUUAUCUUUAGGUAGCUAAUUAAGUGACACAAUUGGGCAAAGAGAACUGUACCCUUUUAUGUUAUCU
rnacentral:lncRNA from 1 species